rfam:Thermococcus onnurineus NA1, complete genome.
ACCGAUGAUGGCAACAGGGUAGCUACCGAAACUUGAUGUGGAAGCCGUUCCAGUCUGAGG